GAAACCGUUUCUACAUGGCUGGCUCUAAGCCAGAUGAUAUUUCAUAGUGCAAAGAGGGAUAGAACCUCACUGGUGGCCAAAUGUGAUUAUAUGCUAUAACCCUGUGCCCCUACUCUGACACCCACCCCCAAGCAGUUACCCUCUGUUGGAAGCCUGCAGCUUUCUUUGUUUGUUUCUUUAAUUAUACAGACAGUAGGAUCUGCAUCCUUACUAGCAUAUAGAAAAAUCAGAGAAACAAUGCAACCAAGAGUGCUGUUUUCAUUUGUUUCUUCUGCAUCCUUUUAAUGGAAUUUUGUAGGUCUCUUGAAAGUGAUGCAGAAGACCACAAGCCUUUGAAAAAAGGAAGUCGAACUCCUUCAGACAGGACUGUGAAAAAAGAAGAUAGUGACGACAGCCUAGUUGACUAUGGAGAAGGGGUUAAUGGCCAGUUCAAUGAGGAUGGCUCCUUUAUUGGACAAUACAGUGGUAAGAAAGAGAAAGAGCCGGCUGAAGGAAACGAAAGCUCAGAGGCACCUUCUCCUGUCAACGCCAUGAAUUCCUUUGUUUAAUUUUUAAGCUCUUUGCCAAUAUUCCAUUUCUCUAGAAUGUUUAUCCUAAGCACUUGUUUGUCAGCCCUCUCAUACUAUGAACAUAUGGGUAGAGAGUAUAUUUUCUGCUGUAUGUUAGUAUUAUGAGAAUAGUUACAGCAAAAACAUAACUCAGUCAAAUGAUAUGUUAAUAUGAACUGGAAUGCAAAGUGCAUACUUUUUCAUUCAAAAUGGGUAUUCUUGAUUUCCUCAGAACUGAUAAAAAAUAAUGCAACAUCACCAACAGAUCCUGUUAUUUCCUCUGCAGGAUACAGUUCAAUAUGAUGCAUGAAAAAUGCUCCACAUUUAAAGGACAUACCCGUGUAUGUUAUGAAAACAUGGUUUGAUACUUUGUUUAUACUACCCUCAGCUGAACCCCUAUAUAUGAAUUCCGUUUUCAUUGUCAAGAAUGUUACUGUAGUAUUCUCUAGAACUUCAAUGUCUUUGUGGACAUUGUUGUGAAAUUGGUGACUAUGUAUAGCUGUCGUUAGUCUUUUUGGGAGACUGUUAGGAACAGUUUGUACAGUAUAUACUUGCUAAAUGAGUUCAUUAUGACAGUCACAUUGCUGAUGCUUACUGAGAACUAUUACCUACUCUUGGCUCCUGUUACUCCGUAGGCUUCUUAAUCUUCCAGGCAUUACAGCAGCACAGUGUUCUACUUUUUACAUCAUUUCUAUGUUCGGUUGUUUUUAGGCAUAAACAAUGUGUAUUGCAGUGCAUUUCGGCAUUUGUGCCAUACUGAAAGAAUCAAAAACAAAUCAUCCAAAUUAAAUUUCAAACAUUAUUUCAGAGAACACAGGGCAAGACACAUACAGUGCCUUCAGAUAUUAAGCAUUCCACAACAUCGUGCAUUCUGUAUCAGCUGGUCCAGUCCAUUCUGGGUCCUAGAUUACUGUCAUUGUCUAAAAGUAACUUUUAAAAAGCAGAGUUCAUGAAAACUGCAAUGCUGGGAAAAGAAGGAAACAUGAAAAUAAAAAUAAGACAGUUUAUUAGAAAUAGCAUUUCCUCAUAAGCAUAAAAAGAAAAUCUUUGUUGCCAACUGAAGCACAUGAUGAUUUUGUGGUCCUUUAUGGUUUCUAUUACAUUCAGUAAGAAAGAUGUCAACAUGCUAGAAAAUUAAUUUUAAAACUAAGUUAUUCCAACACUAAAAGCAUACAACAGCAUGCCAACAGUAAUAUAUUAUUCUCCAAGACUUUACCUAUGUAAGUGUUCAAAACUCUGCAGCAUUAAACAACGUGUAUGCAAAUUGUUAUGGAUACAUUUCAGAAUCUAAGAAAUCAGGCAAGUGCUUAAAAGGCCAACGGUCCAAGGGAUUACAUCUGCAGUUUAAAAAGUAAAUAUAUAUUCUAUCGUAUUCAUAAACAAUAUCUAUCAAAUGGGUUACCUCCAAAUAUGAAAAUCUAUAACAACCUAUGGUUGAAGGAAUGCUCAGUUUCAUUUGCCAAUAAAUUGGUUUCUCAUAACUUGCAUCAAGUUUAAUUUUAAGUAAAGCUUUUUAUAUGUAGAUAUUUUGUUGAAUUUGUAAAUACACUUAAAAUGUAGAUGCUAUAUGCUUAUAGGUGUUACAUACAAAUAAACAUGCAAUGUUUAUGUUGUACUGUAUAAGAGGUAAGCUAAUUAAUGCAGUGAAUGGGAUUGGAAAGCAUCUACUUAAAUAUCUAUUGGGUUCCCCCCUCCCCCCACCUUUUUUGCUGUGAAACUGAAAUAGUGAACUUUUCUACGUAUUGACAGCAGAUUUUUCGAUGAAAUCUUCAGAGCUUUGCCUAUGGGGCACAGUAGGCCUAGUAACCUGGCAUGUUUGAUAUAUGUAGGUAAAGCAUAAUUUAAAGUAAUCCCAGGUAAAGAUGGCCCUAAAUACUUUCAUGUCUCUAUAUUCAUUUUUCACAGAUCCACCUGUCUCUUGAAAAUAUAAAAAGACAAAACAGGUUUGCCUUGGCAUCAGAGAGCACAAAGAUUAAAAGUUACUUUAAAUUUGCCAAUAUUUUGGGAGAACAAUAAAACUACAUUUUUUCCUCUUCCAUACUGGUAGAUGCGAAAUUUAUCUGUGCAUGAAAGGGUCACUUCUGUAAUAGUGCAACAGAUUUGGUAUUAAAAAUUAAAUGUGGUUUUAAAAGUUCCUCUCUCUUUUGUAAUUUAUGUUCCCAAUUGAGUGUGAAUGUCCAAGUAAUGGUGUAUGUAAUGGUACAGGCAAAUGUGACUGGAUUUCCCUCAAAAAAGUAACUAUUAAACAGUCUUGAUCUCUUUGUGACUUUUAACUUUUUCAAACAUA
rnacentral:lncRNA from 1 species